rnacentral:rRNA from 1 species
GACGAACGCUGGCGGCGUGCUUAACACAUGCAAGUCGAACGAUGAACCUCGAAAUGAUUUCUUCGGAAAGAUAUUUGAGAGGAUUAGUGGCGAACGGGUGAGUAACGCGUGAGCAACCUGCCUUAGACAAGGGGAUAGCCUCGGGAAACCGUGAUUAAUACCCUAUGAGACUCCACUUACGAGUGUAAGAGAAGUUAAAGCUAUUGCGGUCUAAGAUGGGCUCGCGUCUGAUUAGCUAGUUGGUGAGAUAAAAGCCCACCAAGGCGACGAUCAGUAACCGGCUUGAGAGAGUGAACGGUCACAUUGGAACUGAGACACGGUCCAAACUCCUACGGGAGGCAGCAGUGGGGAAUAUUGCACAAUGGGGGCAACCCUGAUGCAGCGACGCCGCGUGAGCGAUGAAGGAAUUCGUUUCGUAAAGCUCUGUCCUUGGAGAAGAUAAUGACGGUAACCAAGGAGGAAGCACCGGCUAAAUACGUG